UACGAAGGGGGCUAGCGUUGCUCGGAAUCACUGGGCGUAAAGGGUGCGUAGGCGGGCUUUUAAGUCAGAGGUGAAAUCCCGGAGCUCAACUCCAGAACUGCCUUUGAUACUGGGAAUCUUGAGUAUGGAAGAGGUGAGUGGAACUGCGAGUGUAGAGGUGAAAUUCGUAGGUAUUCGCAAGAACACCAGUGGCGAAGGCGGCUCACUGGUCCAUAACUGACGCUGAGGCACGAAAGCGUGGGGAGCAAACAGG
rnacentral:rRNA from 1 species